CUAAGAAGACGCUAUGGAAGGAUGCUGAAGAAAUUGUGGCAAUGAGACCUUAGAAGAACUGAGUCUUUUAGUUUUGUGUCUCAAAUUAGUCAAAUACAUCCCGUACUACCUAUCCAGCUAUCCUGUAGAGAGAUAGAGACCACAUAGCAAAGGACAUUGUAGUCCCAUCUGAGGCCUAGUUCACUGCUCCCAUGAAUGAUCUCAAAUGAUACUGCAUAUGGCAGUAGAGCUGUCCUGAUGACUGACAGGUUUAUGGAGGUACCCAGUUCUGAGCAAGCUAACUGCUGCACGAGUCCUCUACAGUGAAGCAAUCAGUAAGGAGUACAGCAGAUGCUUAGAGGCCUUUACUGAUAGGACAGAAGAGAAUCACCUGAUUAGGACACUGGAUGCGAUGGUACUUCUUGAUAUCCGUCUUCCACUUGUGCAGGACUUCCUGGCUAAAGAGACGUCUUUGCUGUUUUCACUGAGCUGACACAAUGCUAUUGUUACUGUUCCCAUAUCCUCAUCCUGCUGUCUGUGGGUCUCCAGUCUUUUUAAUAUUCCUUUCCCUGCUGAUCAAUGGAUUGGACAUUCUCACAUGUUAACUGAGCAUCUCAAGUCCUCACAUGCAACUAGAAAGAGUUUCAGAAACUUCUUCGAAUUUCCCCAUGAAGAAAUCCCAUCUGUGGCUCAAACCCAAGUCCAAUGGAGUGAAUCAGAACUGGGGGCAACUUUCCAGAUCACGAUGUAAGAAAAAGAUACUGAGGUCUCACUUCAAACCAUCAGCUCUCAAACUUUGUAGUCUCCUAAGAAGAUAAUUAAGAAUGAGAAUUUCUGGUGCUGGAGGCAAGGAUCAGUGUUUAGGAACACUUGUUCCUACAGAGGACCCAGAUUCGAUUCCCAGCACCUACAGGGAGCGUCACAAUCAUCCAUAACUCCAGUUUCAGGAGAUCCGAUGGCCUCUUCUGACCUCCAUGGGUCUGUGAUACACAGACAAUCAUGUUGAGAACAACAUGAAUGCAUAAAUAAAUCUAUAGAGUUUUAAGUGAGUA